rnacentral:tRNA from 1 species
AGUUAUUUUGGCAGAAUAGUGCAUUUGAUUUAGAAUCAUUAUAUGUAAUUGGAUUACAAAUAAU